rnacentral:lncRNA from 1 species
CGCCUGGAGGUCUUUCCAUUCCUGGGAAGGUCUAGGAUUCUGAACUGCAUAAGCCAGGAAAAGACGCCCCCUUUCUCUGCCUUCCCAGGGCCACCUGAAUCAGAGGCAGAGCCAAGAGAGGAAAGAAAAAUAAGAGAGAAAUAAUAGGUUACUGUUUCAAAAACUUCGCAUGGCAAGUGGACAGCUUGGGAGGAAUCUCCUCUGCUUGUGCCCCUGGGAACUGGACAGGCGCAGGGCGGCUGCACCGUGCCAUGGUGGCGAGGCCCAGGUGUCACCUCAUGCAUCCCCUCUGCGGAUAAGCCUGCCCUGGUCACUGUGUCCCCCUCCUCAGUCACUCUGGGUCCAGAAUCUGGCUUUCUUGCCUUCAGAGCCUUUGUCACCAUCGAAAUGCUCUUGUUGACAUGUUUAUCUGUUUAUUUCCUGUCUCCCCCCUAGAAUGUGAGCUCCACGCUCACCUCUGGUUCUCCAGGGCCCAGCACACAUUCAGUACUUAUUAAAUAUUUGUUGAAUGAAUAAACAAGGCUCUGAGCCUUUCACCCUUCGGCCCCAAGCCCCUGCUCCAGCCUCACUUCCAGGUGUGCUGGAGCAUUUGUGGGAGGCUGCGUAUAGCACCCAGGCCCACCCCUGGGGUCUGGCCUCAGCAAUUUCUGGCCUCCCGAAAUGCACUCAGCUGUCUUGCCCCAUCUCCACCUGCUGAAAUCCUUCUUACCUUCAAGACCAAAGGCAGCCCACAAAGUCUCCUCUCACCUCGUCAGGGACAGUACGUCAUUGACAGUGCCAACAGCAGCCAUGACUCACACCUCCCCUCUGCCCGGCACCUUGCUGAUGCCCUCUCUCAUUUAACCUUCACAAGAACCCUCUGAGGUAGGUACUAUUCCUGUCCCCAUUUCAAAGAUGGGGAAACUGAGGCCCAGAAAGUCGCCCAAGCUCUCCUAGUCAGCAAGUAGAGGAGUUAGGAUCUAAACCCAGGGCGGCUGACCCCAACCCACGACCUGCACCCUCUCUGCUGAACCUGCCUCCCUCCGGCCCCACCUCGCCUCUCCCCUCACUUGCAGCACUGGUCCCUGCAGUCUGUCUGGAGCGACCCGAGAUCCCGCUGACAUCCCCAUCUCGAGGCUCCGAGCCCUCCUCGCUGUUCCUGGAACCUUGGCAUGCUGUGCAUCUCCACCACUGUGGCCGAGUGGGAUUGAAAAUAAUUUCAGCCCUUCUCUCCCCACCUCAAGCUCCUGCCCUUUCUGGGGUAGUGGAGGAGAGGCACCCUUUCCCCCGCCCUUUAUCGUUUUAUUUUGUUAAUUAUUUUUCACAAUAAAAAUUGAUUCCAGGGGUCAGAUCUGUGGCUUGGUGGUGAAGUUUGGCGUGCUCCACUUCAGCAGCCUAGGUGUGAAUCCUGGGCGUGGA